GCCUGGCUGGCUCAGUUGGUAGAGCAUGUGACUCUUGAUCUUUGGGUCGUGAGUUCAAGAUCCACGUUGGGUG
rnacentral:tRNA from 1 species